AAAGCCAAUAAAAUUUGUAAAACCCACGCACAGCAAUAACAAAGGACUAUUCUGCGGUAACUGAUUAAAUCUACAAGCGAACAAUGGCGUUACAUAAUUGAUUUUAGUUUUAUUUCACGUUGAGAUGUGGAGUGCUUUACUUGUUUUAACUCUAUUCUGUGCUACUAUACAGACAAAGUACUUAGAUGAUGAUAUGCUACUAUUUUGGAGAAAAAAUGGCUCAGUCAAUUGCAAACCAUUCACAUCUUACUCUGUAGAAUGCAAUCGAUGUGUCUGUGGAGCUGAUCGCGUCGAGUACUGCACGAGAAUGUCCUGUUUGAAAAAGUCAAGACGUUUUGACGACUCGGAUUAUUCGGAUUGAGUUUGAAGAUUUUUGUAUUAAAAGGAUCUCAUAAUUUAUUGAAUAUGAAAAAAUAUGCCGGUGAUUUGGCUCGUCUAUGCGAUUGCAAUUAUUCUUUAAUCGAUUGAGUAGGUUUCAAAAUAUGAAAAACAUACUUUUAUUUUUAUACCACCUUACCACCUCUACAUAACAGAAUAGCAUAAUAAAAGUAGAUUUAGUUUUUUAAACUAAAUUGUUAUAAUAUUAUGGGCUGACCACGACGUGAGAAUGGUCAGACAUAAACUGCCGAUUGAAGAGAAAGAGAUAAUGUUAUUUAAUUUAUAUAAUCCUAUAUUGAUUUACGUUGAUAAUCCUUAUAAUGUUCAAACUCGAAUUUAUACCCUUAAUUGAAGUUAAUAAAAAGGGGUUAGCGAUACUAACGAUGUCUAAAAUGUAGGAACAUUGUUAAUGGAGGAUGAGCAACACAAAGGGGGUAGCAAUUUGAGGAUAAAUCAAAGGAUUCCGCCCAGGGCGGCCGCUUUGUCGGCGGGAAAAAUUGAAUUUUUUUUCUUUGCGAAAAAUUUACGCCUAACUAACACUCAAUGCACGACUUAUACAGAAUAUAAUACAGAUAUUCUAUGAAUGAACCUUAGUGGAAAAAUUAUCCGAUAAUUGGACACCUAAUGUGAAGAAAUAUAAACUACACCCAAAAUUAAUAAUAUAUAAAUAAUAAAUUAAUAAAAAGAAAAGUCAACCUCACAAAGUUAUAACAAUGGAACGCUUUAUAAUUCAAAAGCGUUCAAUACACGGCAAUCACCUUCCGUGUCUAGUUUUCCACUACCCUCAACCCAAUAUAGCAUAUGUUGUUGGCAUUAAUAAAAUUGAUCUAUAGUAAAGUUUA